rnacentral:lncRNA from 1 species
GAUCAAGUUAAAUGUCCAAUUUAUUUUUAUAACUUGAAACCAGAACAAACUUGGUUUUGAACAAGCGUACAAAUGAAAUGGCAGACAUGCUGAACUCAACAUUGUGACAUUAAGGGGAAAAAGAAGAGGCCCCAAAUCUUGUACAGAGAAUAAAAGGAACAAUAAAUAUUUUACUAAGCCAUAUUGAAAUGACCUCCUGUCAUCUCAACAUUUUAUCCAUAAUAAUAAAAAAAAAAAGUGCCUGUUUCUUAAACAGAGCACAAAUACCAAGCAAUAAUAAAUAGUUCCAAACUUGUAGUAAAAGACAGAACCUCCAGGUAAACAACAAAAGCUCAUACAAUAAUAGAAAAGGUAGUAAAAAUAUUUCGCCUUGCCAGUACAAAUGCAAAUACUUAACUCAAUGUAACUUUGCUUCACAAGGCUGAUACAAAGAGCACCAAAGUCAUGGGUUUGUCUGUGUUCCAAAAAGCCUUUGACUGUCACUCAGGACCGGGACAAAAAGGCCCAUUUCCCUACUUUUCACAUUUUGCCUAGAGGAAUUCAGCCUCCUCCUCUCCCCAUGAAAGACCCUCCAAUGGCAAGUGGCAGGUUCCAAUUUGGGGCAGCUUUGAAUCAAGUGGUGGCAGCAUGGAAACCAGCCUGAGGUCGGCUGGGUCCCCACCCCUCCCCGGGGCUCGGGCCUCUCUCUCACGGAGUCGUCUGCUUCAGCGUUGGCUUUUUAAACAUGAAAGAGAAGCCACGUACUCUUUUCUCUGCCUUCGUCAUCGACAGAGACACAAUCUUUGUGCUUUAGGAUGGCUUAGUCCUGGCAUUGGGGUGACUUUGCACGGGCUGGCACGCGCUGGCUAGCAUUGGUAACUACGGGAGGAUCAAGACCGAGGCUCUCGGGGACCUUCCCGGGGCAUCCAGGGUAGCCCCCGGGUCUUGGGGACAAGCAGGCAGGACAGGGACAUCUCAGCUUUAUCUCGUACUUCCUCCCCUUUUCUUUGCACUUUGCAAAGGUAAGUGGCAAGAAGGAAAGGGCGUGUGGAACAGAAGAGCGCCCAGAAGAAAGAUUUCUGCAUUUGGUAAAGAACUGCUCAAAAGGAUGCUUGGUUAUACUUUCAUAACCUGAAAUAAUGGUUUCUUAGAGUUCCUGAAAUUAAAAAAAAAAAAAAAAAAAAAAGGCUUCCUGAUAUAGGUUUUUUUUAAAAAAAUGUAUUAUUCCCUCAUCCAAAAAAACCACCAGUUUAUUAUCUUAAAGCUACCUGGCUUUACAAAAAAAAAGGGGGGGGGGACAGAAAGGGAGAAAUAAAUCAAAUAAAAAUGAAAAGGACAAAUCAAAGACCGACAGAGGCUGGAGGAUGGAGAGGAAAUGCAGAAGAAGCAAAGAGAAAGAGCUAUGGAAAGGCACCGAAUUCAGCCCAGGCCCUAGGCAUUCGGAAACUGACGGAAUGUAGGUUUCAGAGAGAAAAGCAGCAAAGCAGGUAAGAAAGACAACAGGCCAACCCUCUCCAUGGAAUAUAAGGUCCUGGUUGUGACAGGGACUCCGAUUUGAUUUGCGCUGGUCCCAGCCACAGAUCACGUCACCUGCGCCUGAUACGCCAGCUCCCUUUAUUACAUUUUUCUGUUUAAUGUUUUCUCAAGGACUAAAGAAAGCUCGGUGUGCACUUCUUUCUGCUCUGAAGGGCGGGAGAUGUGGCGGUGGCGACGCCACGGUGGUGACAGCAGAGGAGGAAGAUGCUUUUGGCCUCUCUUCCUCCACAGCUGCCACCCUUACCGAUGGCCUCGGAGAGAAAGGGAGGACAGUGAAAUGCUACCGACAUCUUUACAAAAACUGAUUUUUCCACUCAACACGAAUACAGAAUUUCCCGUCUGGUCUGCUGUGGCCACACCAGGGAGCCUUGAUGCAAGGUUGGGGGCGUUCAGAGUGAAGCCCUAUCUAUUCCAACAGUCCUUUGUCGAGGCCAAUUCCGACAAAAAUAUAUACAACUAAAAUGAUUUGUGAACCAAAGCAUUUACCUACUUCCUUUUGUUUCUUUUCCUCAGAGGUUGUCAAACAACCUUUUUUUUUUUUUUUCUCCUGUACAAUAGGACUUAACAUACAAAUUUUUUUUUGCAAUAUUUUAUCCUGCCAAAUUAAAAAAAUAUAUUAUGGCAGCCUGCUUGUUUUUGUUUUUUUUUUCUUUUUAUUUCCAAAUUCACUAACAAAAAGGUACAUUAAAUCCCUUUAAAAGGACAAGCUUACAGUUAAAAAAUUACAAGCUCCAGUAAAAAUACAGCAAGUGCCUACAUUAUAUGAACCAACCAAUAUAUCCAUUCCAGAGGGAGGUGGGAGGAGAAAAAUAAGUACAGAUCAGAAAUGUGGAUUUUUUUUUUUCUCUGCAAAGCAAUAACAAUAUUAAGCACUUUUUUUUCUACAUACUUUUUCUACAUGGUGUAGCAAUCCCCUUUUAAUCCCCCAAUACAAGUUUCUAUACAUUUUUUUUUUUGAAAUAAAAAUUCAACACCCAAGGCAGAAAAAAAUUUACUAAAACUCCGACUUUACAGUUACUGUGACAAGAACAAAUUAUUAGAGACCCACCAUUUAAAUUUUACUGCAACAUUUUCAAGGAAAAGAAAAGGGUUUUUUUUUUUUUCUUGUUUUGUCAAAUGCCCAGGCAUUCUCGAUUAUUACAAAUACUGGUCCACUUUUACAGUAAUCAAGAAAUUUUAAUAUAUAUAAUAUAUACUAAAACCCCGUCACCAAAAGAAAACAAUAUACACGCAGCCGUUGUGGCAUUUUUUUUGUAACCUAUUAAGCAAACUUUGAAAAAAAAAAUGAUCGCUCCAACACACAUACACACAAUUUUUUUUUACCCUUGUAUGUAUCCAAUACUGUAAACGUAUUUUUAAGACAGAGUGCACUAAAUUUAACUUUAGAAAAAAAUUAGCCGUUGUUCCUGAAUUGUUUUUGUUUUUUCAUUCAACGAUAGCAACUUGUAACUUGUGUCACUUGAGUUUUAAUUCAGCAGUAAAUCACCUCCACUCCACAUGUAAGCAGCGUUGUCCCACAGACAAAAGGGGCUGAGGAUAAUUCAGCUAGUGAUGUCCAAGGUUGUGCUGGGUUUAUUUCUUCAUUUGAUUGGGUCUUAUGGCAUUGUCAUGUCUUCAACCAGGAUUUUUAAAAAUUUAUUUAAAGGAAAUGUGGCUUUGUUUGUUUCUAAAGAAAUGUACUUUUCUCGUUUUACUUUUUUAAAAAGUCUUUUCAUU